rnacentral:rRNA from 1 species
GAUGAGCGCUGGCGGCGUGCCUAAUACAUGCAAGUCGAGCGAACAGACGAGGAGCUUGCUCCUCUGACGUUAGCGGCGGACGGGUGAGUAACACGUGGAUAACCUACCUAUAAGACUGGGAUAACUUCGGGAAACCAGAGCUAAUACCGGAUAAUAUAUUGAACCGCAUGGUUCAAUAGUGAAAGACGGUUUUGCUGUCACUUAUAGAUGGAUCCGCGCCGCAUUAGCUAGUUGGUAAGGUAACGGCUUACCAAGGCAACGAUGCGUAGCCGACCUGAGAGGGGGAUCGGCCACACUGGAACUGAGACACGCUCCAGACUCCUACGGGAGGCAGCAUUGGGGAAUCUUCCGCAAUGGGCGAAGGCCUGACGGAGCAACGCCGCGUGAGUGAUGAAGGUCUUCGGAUCGUAAAACUCUGUUAUUAGGGAAGAACAAAUGUGUAAGUAACUAUGCACGUCUUGACGGUACCUAAUCAGAAAGCCACGGCUAACUACGUG